CAUGAGACUGGAUGAAAACAAGGAGGGAGUGAUCUCUUGGGCCCUCCAAACUUUAAAGGUCUCAGAGAGGGGAAGGGACAAAGGAGCAAAGGAGGUUAAGAGUAGCCAGUUCAAUAACAAAAAUACCAUGUGGUGGUCCGAGAAGCCAAAUGAAGAAAUUUCAUAGAGAGAGUAAUGGACUAUGUCAACUGCUACUGUUAAAUAAGAUAAAGACUGAGAACGGACAAUUGUCUUUAACUAUUAGGAAGUCAUUAGUAACCUUGAGAAGGGUUAUUUUGAUAGAGUGAUGAAUGCAAAAGUUUGACUGGAAUGAGCUGGAGAGAGAAAGGGAGAAGAGAACCUGAAGAUAAAUGAAGUUUGCUCAGGAUAUGGUCUAUGUUGAGCAAAAGAUAAAAGGUAGCAGCAGCCACCGACAGAAACUUCUGGCAAUCACCAUUGAACAAGAUCAGCCCAAAGAAAACACAAUUCCACUAAAUAUUCUUUGAAGCCCGAUGUACCACUAAUCCCACAGAUAAGUAAUAAGUGAGAGCUGGGUUACAGCAGCGCCUUAUUGUCACAUUCCCUAGGUCAAAGAUUCUUUAACUGUAAAGAUUUCUGAGCCGUUGUUAACUAUGUAACUUGAAUAGCUCUAAUAGGAUGAGAAUUUAAAAGACACAGAUGGUCAAUGGGGCGCCUGGGUGGCGCAGUCGGUUAAGCGUCCGACUUCAGCUCAGGUCACGAUCUUGCGGUCCGUGAGUUCGAGCCCCGCGUCAGGCUCUGGGCUGAUGGCUCAGAGCCUGGAGCCUGCUUCCGAUUCUGUGUCUCCUUCUCUCUCUGCUCCUCCCCCCUUCAUGCUCUGUCUCUCUCUGUCUCAAAAAUAAAUAAACGUUAAAAAAAAAUUUUUUUUUAAAGACAUAGAUGGUCAAAACAGCUAACAGGUACUCACACAGUUCACUCUCCCUUUUUCCACUUUCCCUUCACAUCACCUGUUCAAUCUUACAUUUAAGAGUAAAUAUAUUAAGAAGCAAGAGAAUUACAUCAGCUUUUAAAACAUGAUUGCUACUUACACUCCCCUCCUCAGUUAAUAAUAUGUAGGCCACAAUACACAGAGUUCAAAGAACUCUCCAAGGAUGGCCAAAUAAUUAUUUCUAACAUAUUUUUUUAAGUAAGUUCUAUGCCCAACAUGGGGCUUGACCUCAAGACCCCAAGAUUGAGAGUCUCAUGCUCUACCAACUGAGCCAACCAGGUGCCCCAACUGUUUUUAGUAUUUUUAAGAAAAGUCUUGGUCAACUCUAAAGGACCUUCUCAAAUCUAAGUAAGAUUUUUUAACCUCUGUCCCAUGAACAUGAGCUAAAUGGACAAUAAAAAGGACUCCUGUCUCUAAUAAUUACUUAUAACAGUAAUUUUCAGUGGACAAAUUAGAUGGUGCUGACUAUACUGGUUAUUCUCCCAUUUGCUUUCUCUCUUUUCUAGCCAUGAAAUCCAUGUUCCUUGAAAUCAAUCCUUCCUUUGGCUUGAAAUCUAUAGACUGCAUUACCUGGGUUUACUGUUCUACUUUAAUAAAUGGGAAACACCAGUAGGAAAUCAAAAGGUGGGAUAAUGAAAGUGUUCAUUCUCCCCACCUUUUUAUUGCCUUACUGUGGUGAUAGCAGUGUUCUACAUUCUAUGUUCCUCUUUGAUGAUGCUAGGUUUUUCUGAACUAUGGCAACAAUACCUGUCUCUCCCUGUCCUUUCAAACUAGGGACAAUAGUUUCCCACUAUUGUUGAUCAAUGGGUAUUUUCACAGCCUUUAUUUAUUGCUCCUCUUGACCCUGCUCAUGGCACUGUAAAUAGUCCUUUCACUAAACUCUCUUUUAAUGAACGAACAAAAUGUGGUAUAUACACAGAAUGUGAUAUAUUCAGCCUUAAAAAGGAAUCAAAUUCUGAAACAUGUUACAACAUGGAGAAACCAUGGCUAAGUGAAAUAACCCAAUCACAAAAAGUCAAAUAUUGUACGAUUCCACUUACAUGAGGUGUCUAGAAUAGUCAAAUUCAUACAGACAGAGAAAGUAGGAUAGUGAUUACUCAGGGCUGGGGGUAGUGGAAUAAAGAGUUUAAUGUGCACAAAGUUUUAGUUUGGGAUGAAGAAAAAUUCUGGAGAUAGAUGGUGGUAGAAAACAAUGUGAAGGUGGUUUUUUUUUAAUGUUUUUAAAUUUAUUUUUGAGAGAGACAGAGCACAAGUGGGAGAGGGGCAGAGAGAGAGGGAGACACAGAAUCCAAAGCAGGCUCCAGGCUCUGAGCUAUCAGCACAGAGCCUGACACAGAGCUUGAACCCACAAACCGUAAGAGCAUGACCUAAGCCGAAGUCAGACGCUUAACCGACUGAACCACCCAGGCGCCCCCAUUACCACAGAACUAUACACCUAAAAAUGGCUAAAAUGGUAAAUUUUAUGUUAUGUAUAUUUCAUCAUAUAUACAACACUCUCUUUAGUUAAGUCUUUUGUUUAUGUUACCUGUUUUCUUGUCAAGACCCGUACUGAUACCUUGAUUUACCAUAAAUUCCUAAUUCUAAAGAUUAGAAAGACUGCCACUGUCAAUUUGUGUAGCAAUUUAUAGUUUAUUAAUUAUCUCCACAUAAAAUAUCCCAUUUGAUAUUCAGGCAAGAAAUCAAAUUGGAAGGAGAUAGUAGGUUAAAAAAUACUAUCAAAAUUUAAGUUCACUAACUACACAAUCAAAAGAAAUAUGUUUACUUACUUAAUGUUUACUUAAUAUCAUGCACACAAAACACACUGUCCACAAAAUAACUUUUUAAAAAAUAAGAAAAAAAUACCUACCAAACUUUUAUCCACAUUGGGGCUACUUCGGUUAUCAUUAGGAUUUGCUGAAGAUAAGUAUCUGAGAGAAAAAGAAUUUUUAGAACUAAAAGAACCAAAAACCUCUUCAAUAUUCAAUAACCGGUAACAUAUACUACAUACUUAUUUUUUGGUUUAGUAUUGUGCUUGUUCUGCUUUUGAAAAAUUGAGUACAAGUUCAUGACUCCUUAUUUUAUAUAAAGAUUUUAUGUAAAGAUACAUAUGUAUAAAAGUGAUACAUACAUUAAAUAAAACCCCCAGUUAGGUCAGAGCAGCACUCUGUAAUUAUAUACCUUACUAUCCCUGCAGCCACACAUACGACUAUUCAUACCAAGUAGGAUAAAUAAAAACUAUAAAUUGUCUCGAGUUAGUUCAGAUUAGGUUUUCGGCCAUCAGAGCAGGCUAUGGCAGCUUUUGCCACCAAACAAAUCACUAAAGUAUUUAAAGUUUUUAGAGCUUUUUGCAAUAGGGAUUGGGGAUAAGGAAUUGUUGAUUUCUACAGAAAUGUGCACAGCUUUUCUCUCUGACCCAAAUUACUCUUCAGCCAAGAAUGAUAUUGCCUUUCUGGGCAAAAAAAAGAGCUUUUGCCUAAAUAGUUAACAUAACCUAAGUUCUGGUGAUGUCUUGCUAACCUUUUGAGACUCCAAGGCUUUAUAUUCACUAUAAAGGUAAGUAACAUAUAAGAUAGUAGUGAUCUUCAGAAGUCUUUAAAUAUCUUAUGAGAUUUUUAAACACAUCUAAAUAGAUCAUAUGAAAAAGAUUUUCUAAGCUCUCAAAUGUUAUAUAAAGGUAAGGUACUAGUGCUGCCUUUUCUACUGCUUCUGCUACUUCCUCUACCAUGCUACAACUACCACUAUUAAUACUUCUACCAUCACCACCACUAUAGUUGCCACCGUGGUCAAUCAGUAGAACACUCUCAAAAAGAUAUCAAAUAGCUCCAUAUACUUCCUAGCUGUUUUAGGGCAACUGAUAAUGCACUACAUAUUCACUACUAGUAAAAAACAGAAGAUAAGUUCCUUUAAGAGUGUUCUAAAAAAAAAAAAAAAAAAGGAAAAUAUGCCAUUUUUAUGUUUUCCUUGGAAAAUUAUUCAGAUCAACUAGAUAAUAAAAUAAUCAGAAGACAGUUUUUAGGCACUGUGUAGCAGGUUUGUAGAAAAGAGGUCUCAUGUAACAAAUGACAAGUUCUAGAUGUAGUACAAUUUCAUUCCAUUAACUACUGUCUCAGAAAUUCAGUGUGAGAUUCCACACUAUGUGAUGUAAAUAAAAGCAUAUGGCAAUGCCAGUAGAAUCUGAAUUAGAUAGGAAAUCAGACCAUUUUCUAAGAGAUCUUCUAAAUUUUAAUAUGCUAUAUAAGUUGAAGUUAAUAUUUAGCCUCUGCAAAGUUAAUAAUAUAACUUUCUCAAAAUGCAGCACUGGAAAUUAAGGACACCAAAUGUACGCAUCCAUUCAUUCUUUCACUCUUCCCCCCCCCCCCCAAAGAUCUUUUGUAUAUUACAUUGUUGCUUUCAUAUAGAAUCUGGUCAUUUAGAUAGCUCUUUAUGAGAGGUUUUAGAUUAUUACAAAUGUAGCUAGAAGUUUAACCUUUAGACUAUUAACAAUCUUUGUUCAUUUCGCUGUAUUUUAGCAAUAAAGAUCUCUACCCUUGGUAACUGAAAGUAUGUUUGGAUUUCAGGAGUAAGAAUUUCAGAAGUUUUCUAUUUCAUGCCAAUAACUCAAAUUAUACUUACAUUUUAUACUAAGGCUAAUCAGUAUUUUGCUGAUUCUUUAAGAUCAACCACACCUUCGACCAUGUUAUAAACAAUUACUAAACAACACUAUAUUAUGCAAUAAGGUGGUGGUACUGAAGAACAGAGUACAAUUUCUGUUUUUGAGAAACUCAGAAAUUAGUUUGGAAUAUGCAACAUAUGGAUGCCAGGAAAAACUAGAGAACAUAAUCAAGUAUGUGACAAUGUACUACAAAUAGUAUGUAUAAUGUUUAUUUAAUUCAAGAUUACUUUUAUAUCAAUAAACCUAAAAAAAGUGAUUAACUGAUAUAACUACAUAAAAUCCAAAAACACUGGGGGGGGUGUUUAUAUCAACAUUACAACUGUUCAGAAAGCAAGCCAGAGGAUAACUAAUAAAAGGUACAAAAAUAUAGACAGGAAGACAGAAAGAAAGAACUCUUUAGCAAAAACCACUCUGAAAAACUUGUCUGUGUAUUUUUUUUUCCUCUGUGUAUUUCAAUAUAAAAUAGCUACAAUGUCAUAUUCACGAAUAUUGUGGGAAAAGGAUUAAAAUACUGGACUUUUCUUAGAAUCAAAGUCAAGUACUACCUGCCUGGUUGGUGAUACAACAAAAAGUGUUCAGUACUAUCUUACAGUUGUAUUAUUGGAGAAAUCUCAUAAGGCAGGACUAAUCUGCCUUCCUGUUUUCUAAACUUGGCCUGAAUAGGGUCUUAUAAAAAAGUUUUGACUAAAAUGACAAAAUGCUACACUUGAAAAUAUAUCCAUUUCCUCACUAGUGUACGAGCAUCUUAAGAGAAGGUACUAAUAACUAUAUCUUAUUCAUCUUUCUCCCUGCAUGCUUAUUCAUCUUUCUCUCCCUGACAAAAAAUAAGUUGGCAAAUAUGUUUGUUUGAAUGAAUGAAUGAAUGAAUGCUCAACAUACUGAAAUUAUGUUAAAUGUUUAAUUUGUUUCUCAUAUCGAUUUGAAGACUAAAGCUAACAUUAGCUCAUACUAAUAACAGCUAACACUGAGUGCUUAUUCCAUGCAAAGCAUUGUUCUGUUCUACUGUAUUGAUAUAAUGAACCCUUACAAUAAUCCUAUGAGACAAGUAUCAUCGUCAUCAUCAUCACCAUCCCUAUUUUUGAGAAAAUGGAAGCACAAAAGGUUGAAGUUAUUUGCCCAAGGUCACAAGGUCUAAAUGCUGUAAGAUAUGGUGAAUUCAUUUAGUGGUUUCUGGGGAGGGAUCACUUAAUUUUUGAAUUACUAAAGCUUACAGGCCUUUGUAACAUCAAUAUAGUGAUGAUAAUGCUAGAAAACUAUAUGUUCUUCCAAAGUGUAUCAUAAAACCAGAAUUCUUUGGAUAACAAGAUUAACUAAAAUAUAAGUAUUAAUAGAAUCUUUUAUUAAUUACUGUAACUUUUUUUUUUUUAACGUUUAUUUAUUUUUGAGACAGAGAGAGACAGAGCAUGAACGGGGGAGGGUCAGAGAGAGGGAGACACAGAAUCUGAAACAGGCUCCAGGCUCUGAGCUGUCAGCACAGAGCCCGACGCGGGGCUCGAACUCACGGACCGCGAGAUCAUGACCUGAGCCGAAGUCGGCCGCUUAACCGACUGAGCCACCCAGGCGCCCCAACUGCUGUAACUUUAACACAUAUAUAGUGCAUCAUUCAGUAAAUGAUUUCUGAAACACAAUAUCCUGAUCAUGGAUGAGUCUAAAAGAAAUGAAAUAUGGAAUAAUACAAGUAUCAUACAUCACUGAAAAAUGGCAUAUUAAGAUAUCUCUUCAUAUACCAUUAAAUGUUCUUAAAGUGACUUUGAGAUAUCCCUAAGAAAAUAAUAGACUACAAAAUUAGUACUUACCCCUAAAAUCAAUGUUUAGCAUACUUACCUACGAUUGCUAUAAUACGUAAAUCCUACAAAAGGUAACUGAUUGCCAACAAAAGCUUUAGGUAUAGGGAAUGUUUCUUCAUCUCCUUUAUCUUCUUCCAAGUCAUCAAAAUUACUUGUAUCAAUGUCACUACUUAAAUCAGGUACAACUGGCGCUACAGCUAAAAAUGGAAACAAAAUUAGUAGUUUACUUCAAAUUUAAUACAAAAAUAAAGUGAAGCAAAGAUUCCAUACCAACUACUAAGUUUCUUACAUACAAAUAAGUUGCAAACCAAAUUCCAAAUGGGUUGAAUCCUAUUUCACCCAAUUUUAUUAGGGCUAUUAAUCAACUGAUAUUGACCAUUACAAUUCUAUGAAACAAUCAUCUCCUAUAAUCAUCAUCUAUACUUCAAGUUUAAUUUGAAUAUUGCAAGUAUAAAGGUUUUAGAAUACACCAUAAUAUAAAUAUGCAAAAACAGUCAGGACUCUACAAAAGACUUUGCAGAAACCACAGCAUAAUAAAUUGUACUCAAAACUGAUUGAUUUCAAAUGAAACAAACUAGAAAUCAAGGUUACCUACCUCUUAGUAGUCCUGGAUAUAACAUUUGGUACUGAAAUAUAUUUAUUAAUCUAGAAUUUAGAUGGUUAGUAUCCACCCCUCCCCCCAACUCAAUAUCUCUAUAAGACUAAGUCACAAGGAGCAAUGUAUUUUGAAUUUUAUUUUCAGUCUAGCUACCUUCCCUGAAUCAAGUCAUUAAAUGAUGACUCCAUGAGGUAUUUAUGAAAUGGCUGUUAGGAAAAGAGGGUAGAGAUACAAAACAUGCACACAGAAUCUUCAAGAGUUAUAAAUGUGAUGGAGAGCAAGACUCAUAAAAAAUUUUUUUAAGUUUAUUUAUUUUGAGAGACAGAGAGAGAGCGUGUGCUCGUGCACUCACAAGUGGGGGAGGGGCAAAGAGAGAGAAUCCCAAGCAAUCUGCAUACCAGCAGCACAGACACCAACAUGGGGCUCAAACCCAGGAUCUGUGAGAUCAUGACCUGAACUGAAACGAAGAGUCAGACACUCAGCCAACAAAGCCACCCAGGCCCCUCAUCUAAUAAGCAUAUAUGGCAAUGCUUAAAUCGUCAUAAUAUGGGAGAAAAUAACAUGAAACUAAUAUUACCACUAUUUUAUUUUGGAACUUGAAUAGGCUACAGAGAAUACACCUAAAAAUACAUUUUAGAGAAAAAGCUUUUUAAAGAUACAGUAGUAUUAAUAAAACAUUAUGGAAAUAUCAACUAAACAUUGAAUAAUUAUUUUAGAUAUAAUCAUCUCAUGUUUCUUUAAAAAAGAUGAAGAUGAGCAACAAAAAAUAAUUGACCUGGUUUCACAGUCUUAAUCUUUUAUAUAAAGGAAUCAUUUUUCUAAUGAAUUAUCUGGGUAUUCCAGGCAAGAAAUAACUAUUGAUGCGCAUCACAGAUACAGUGAAAUAUCUGAUGAAUCUGAGAAUGAAACAUAUUUAACCCAAAGAAGCUAUAAUAUUAACUAAAAAUGAAUGAGAAAAGACCUUUUCCACCAUUCUCUCUUCUUAAUGACCAGGAGAACUACAGUCCUGACUAGACAAUUCUAGCUUCCUAAUACUACUAACUGCCUAAUUUGUAAAAUGAAGUGGGAGGAAAGUUGCUUCUUCUUAUAAAGUAUGUAAGCCAAUUAUGGUCUUGGCAUAAAUUGUACUUUUAAACAGUGGUUCUCAUUUUUAAAACAACUUUGCCCCCCUGUGGGAAAUUUGGCAAUAACUGAGCUCUUAUAACUGAGGGAGGUAUGCUCCUGGCAUCUAGUGGGUAGAGACCAGGGAACCACUAAACAUCCAAGAAAGUUCAGGGUAAGCCACACACAAAAAAACUUAUCUGGUCUAGUGUUGAGGCUAAAAACCCUACUUGAAAAUUAUCAUAUAAGAAUGAUUUUAAAAGGAAGCAGAGCAUGCUUGGUGAUUUUUUUCUUGCUGUUUUAGAUGUAUCUAGUCUUUUCAUAGAUAACACAGUAGGGGCACCUCGGUGACUCAGUUAAGCGCCUUACUCUUGAUUUCAGUUCAGGUUGUGAUCUCAUGCCCAUGAGACUGAGCCCUGUAUCAGGCUCCGCACUGAGCGUGGAGCCUGCUUAAGAUUCUCUCUCUUGUUCCCUCUGUCCUUAUCCCCUGCUCACAUGUGCUCUCUCUCAAACAUUAAUAAAUAAAUAAGGAAAUACAGAUAACAUGCCAUUUCAGAACAGUUUUAAAAUGGGACAAAUUCUGUUUAAAUUUUGAGGUACAAGUAGGGGAAAUCCUGGGAGAAUUAUAAAAGUAAUAUUUCUUCUACUUUCAAAGUAAAACAUUUAGGCUUUAUAGAUACCAUAUAAUCACAUCAGAACUAAUAAAUAAGAGUAAGUAUAAAGAUAGCUUUACAGAAUUACCAUUGAUAUAUACAGUAGUCUAUUUAUAAAAAUUUACCUUUCAAUAAAUAACUGGGAAUAUAGGAACCAUGUUCUGUAAGAAAGAAUCCAGGUGACGCCAUAAAAACAUGGCAGAGUAAGGAACUCUAAGAAGCUACCUUUCCACUGAAAUAACUAUUAUGCAGGCAAAAACUAUCAUAAGCAACUUUUUCAUAACUCUGAAAUCUAAGAAAAGACUUGCAACAAGCAGGGGAAUGUUUAACGAAGAGAGAAGCUAGUAAAUGUUGGCAUUCCGGGAACUGUAACUGGCUGACCAAUGAGAUAAUAAUGGGAAAGGAACUUCAGGGGUCACACAUGACAAAGAAUACAGACUUUGUAAAAACAGUCUGGAAAAGUCACUAAACAAAUGGAUGACUGAAGCCCACAGCAAGCAAUAAUAGCAAACCUGGAAGGGGAGAAAUUGGAUUUCCAGAGUUUAUAACACUGUAAUAUUUAUUAUGUCCAGUUUUUAAUAAAAAGUUACAAAGCAUAUUAAGAAACAGAAAAAGUAAGGCCUAUUCACAGAAAAUGACAGAAAAAUCUCUGAGGAAACCCAGGUAUUAGAUUUAUUAAACAAAGACUUUAAAUAAAUUGCCUUAAAUGUGCUCAAGGAAACCAUGGACAAAAACUAACUGAGGAGUAUGAUAUCUUAACAAACAGAACAUACCAAAAAGGAAAAAGAGGGAACCAAAUAGAAAUUCUGGUACUGAAAAGUACAAUAGCUAAAAGUAAAAAUGUACAAGGGUUCAACAGCAGAUUUGAGUAGGCAGAGGAACCAGUGAACUUAAAGAUAGGACCACUGAAAUUAUCAAGUAGAGGAAAAGAAGCAAACAAUGAAAAAGUCAACUUUUGGGACACCAUAAAUCAUACCAACAUAUACAUUAGGAAAGUCCCAGGGAAGUAAAGAAAGGGGCAGAAAGAAUAUUUAAAGAAAUAAUGGCUCCAAACUAACCAACUGAUGAAAUUUAAGAAUCUAUACAUUUAAGAACUCCAAGUAAGAAAUUCAGAUCCACACCAUGACAUGUUAUAAUAAACGUUGAAAAGACAAAGAGUCUUGAAAACAACAGAAAACUGACUUAUCAUACAUCAGAAAUCCUCAAUAAGAUCAAGAGCCUAUUUCUAAGCAAAAACAUUGAGGGUCAGAAGGCAGUGGAAUGACAUUUUAAAGUGCUGAAAGAAAACAACAGUCAAGCAAGAAUUCUAUAUCCAGCAAAAUUAUCUUCAAAAAUGCAGGGAAAUUAAGAUAUCCCCAGAUAAAAGAAAGAGGAGUUUGUUGCUAGUAAACCUGUCUGGCAAGAAAUGUUAGAGUUUUUAAGGUUUAAAUGAAAGGACACUAGACACUAACUCAAACCUUUACAAAGAAAUAAAAAAACAAAAGUAACUACACUGAUAAAUGUAAGAGCCAGCUUUAUAUAUUUUUGUUAUAUAAUCUACUUUAAAAAAUAAAUAAAUAAAUCCACUUUUCCCCCUAUAUGACUUAAAAUAAAAUGGGUAAAAUAAUUAUAAAUUUAUGUUAAUGAGCACAGAAUAUAUACAGAUACAAUUUGUGACAACAACAUAGAAGAAAAUAGAUCUGUAUAGAAGCAAUUUUUGUAUGCUUCUGACAGUAAACUGUAUCAAUUCAACCUAGACUGUUAUCAGUUUAGGAUGUUAAAUAUAAUCCCCAGGAUGAUGACAAUAAGAAAAUGACAAUAUAUGGAAAAGGAAUUAAGAGAGGGAAUCAAAACAGUACACUAUAAAACAAUCCAUUAAAUACAAAAGAAGGCAAUGAUGUAGGAGAUGAGGAACAGAAAAAAUCAGACAUACAGAAAAUAGAACAAUGGCAGAUGUCUUUACAUACAGUAUUCACUUUAAAUGUAAACGAAUUAGUCACUAAUAAAACGUAGAGAUCUGAAAAAUGGAUUAAUAAAAUUGAUCCAAUUAUAUGCAGUGUACAGACACUCACUUUAGAUCCACAGACAUAAAAAUGUUAAAAGAAUGAAAGAUAUUCCAUGGAAAAAAGAGCUGACGUGGCUAUACUAACAUCAGACAAAAUCAGUAAAAUGGUUAGAAGAGACAAAGAAAAACAGGACAUAUUGAUGACAUUGAUAAAAUGGUCAACUCAUCAAGAAGGUGCAACAAUUAUAAACAACACAUUAACAACACAGCUCCAAAAUAUUUGUAGUAAAAAAUGACAUAAAUGGAGAAACAGACAGUUCUAAAAUAACGGGGUCAUCAAUAACCCACUUUCAAUAAAUGAACUAAACAAUUAAACAGGAGAUGAAUAAGAAAAUGCAAGACUUGAGCAACAUCAUAAAUGAAUUAGAUGUAACAGACGUACAAAGCUCACUCCACCACCAAGAGCAGAAUACAAACUGCACAUGACACAUUCUCCAGAACUAUAUGUUAGAUCAAAAAAACAACUUAAGCAAUUUAGAGAGACUGAAAUCAUACAAACCAGCCACUAUGGAAUGAAACAAGAUCAAUAAUAGAAGAAACACCAGAAGGUUCACAAGUAUGUUGAAAAUAAUAUGCUUUCUUUUUUGUUAAGUUUUUAUUUAAAUUCUGGUUAGUUUAUAUACAGUAUAGUAUUAGUUUCAGGAGUAGAAUUUAGUGAUUCAUCACUUACAUAUAACACCCAAUGCUCAUCACAACAAGUGCCCUCCUUAAUACCCAUCACCCAUCUAACCCAUCACCCACCCACAUCCCAUCCAGCAACCCUCAGUUCAUUCUCUAUAGGUAAGAGUCUGUUUCUUGGUCUGUUUCUCUUUUUUUCUUCGUUUGUUGUGUUUCUUAAAUUCCACAUAUGAGUGAAAUCAUAUGGUAUGUGUCUUUCUCUGACUUAUCCACUUAGCAUAAUAUAUUCUAGCUCCAUCCACGUCAUUGCAAAUAGCAAAUUUCAUUAAAAAAAAAAAAGUUAUUUAUUUAUUUAAAUAAUCUCUACACCCCACGUGCGGCUCGAACUCAUGACCCUGAGAUCAAAAGUCCACAUGCUCUUCUGACUGAGCCAGCCAAACACCCAAAGAUUUCAUUUAUUUUGGUGGCUGAAUAAUAUUCCACUGUGUGUGUGAUAUCUUCUUUUUCCAUUCAUCAGUUGAUGUACAUGGGGUUCUUUCCACAAUUUGGCUACUGUUGAUAAGGCUGCUGUAAACAUCAGGCUGCAUAUAUUCCUUUGAAGCAGUAUUUUUGCAUCCUUUGGGAAAAUACCUAGUAGUGUAAUGGCUGGGUCAUAGGGUAGUUGUAUCUUUAACCUUCUGAGCAAACUCCAUACUGUGUUCCAGAGUGGCUGCACCAGUUUGCAUUCCUACCAACAGUGUAAGAAGGUUCCCCCUUCUCCACUUCCUUGACAACAUCUUUUGUUUCCAGUGUUGUUAGUUUGAGCCAUUCUGACAGGUGUGAGGUGGUAUCUCAUUGUAGUUUUGAUGUGUAUUUCCUUGAUGAUGAGUGAUGUUGAGCAUCUUUUCAUGUGUCUGUUAGCCAUCUGGAUGUCUUCAUUGGAAAAAUGUCUAUUCACGUCUUCUGCUCAUUUAUUAACUGGAUUACUUGUUUUUUGGGUGUUGAGUUUGAUAAGUUCACUAUAGAUUUUAGAUACUAAUCCUUUGUUGGAUAUGUCAUUCACAAAUAUCUUCUCCCAUUCUAAAGACUGUCUUUUAGUUUUGUUGACUACUUCCUUUGCUGUGCAGAAGCUUUUUAUCUUGAUAAAGUCUCAAUAGUUCAUUUUUGCUUUUGUUUCCCUUGCCUCCAGAGAUGUAUCUAGUAAGAAGUUGCUACAGUUGAUGUCAAAGAGAUUAAAAUAACAUAUUCUUUAAAAAAAAAACAAACAAACAAGGAGUCAAAGAAGAAAUCACAAGGGAGAUUAGAAAAAAUGCAUUGAGACAAAUAAAAAUGAACAACAACCAAAACUUAAAGGAUUUUGCAAAAGCAGUACUCAGAAAAAUUUUAGUUGUAAAUGCCUAUGUAAAAAAAGGAGAAACAUCUCUUGGGGGAUCUGACUUUUUUUUUUCAAUGUUUUAUUUAAUUGAGAGAGAGAGAGAGAGAGAACAAGAGAAAACAAGCAGGGAGAGGGGCACACAGAGAGAGGAAGACACAGAAUCGGAAACAGGCUCCAGGCUCCGAACUGUCAGCACAGAGCCAAUGUCGGGCUCCAGCUUGUAAACUGCAAGAUCAUAACCUGAGCCAAAGUCUGUCGCUUACUGACUGAGCCACCCAGGCACCCCAUAAGCAUCCAACUCUUGAUCCUGGCUCAGGUCAUGAUCUUGUAGUUCAAGUUUGAGUCCCACAUCGGACUCUGUGCUAAUGGUGCAGAGCCCACUUGGGAUUCUGUCUCUCUUCCUCUCUGCCCCUUUCCCUCUUGUGUUCUCUCUUUCAAAAUAAAUAAACAAACUUAAAAAGAGAGAAAGAGAAAGGUCUCAAAUCAAUAGCCCAGCUGUCACCCUAAGGAACUAGGAAAAAAGAGCAAACUAAGCCCAGAGCUUAGUUUGGAAAGAAACAACCGUAAGGAAAGAAACAACAGAGAUUAGAGUAGCAGAUAAACAAAAUUAAGAAUAGAAAAUUAAUAGUGAAAUUAACAAAACCAAUAACUACUUUUUAAAAAAGAAUCAACAAAAUUGACAACAAAUCUUUUCGCAGACUAAGGGGAAAAAACACAAGACACAAAUCAGAAAUGAAAGUAGUCAAACUUCAAGCUGUAGUCCUAAGCUAUAAACAUCAAGACAGUACAGUACUGGCACAAAAACAGACACUCAGAUCAAUGGAACAAAAUAGAGAAUCCAGAAAUGGACCCACAAAUGUAUGGCCAACUAAUCUUUGACAAAGCAGGAAAGAAUGUUCAAUGGAAUAAAGACAGUCUCUUCAGGAAGUGGUGCUGGGAAAACUGGACAGCAACAUGCAGAAAAAUGAACCUGGACUACUUCCUCACACCAUACACAAAAAUAAACUCAAGAUGGAUGAAAGACCUAAAUGUAAGACAGGAAGCCAUCAAAAUCCACGAAGCCAAAACCUCUUUAACCUUGGCCACAGCAACUUCUUACUCAACAAGUCUCUGGAGUCAAGGGAAACAAGCAAAAAUCAACUAUUGGGACCUCAAAAAAUAAAGCGCUUCUGCACAGUGAAGGAAACAAUCAGCAAAACUAUAAGGCAACCAACGGAAUGGGAGAAGAUAUUUGCAAACGACAUAUCAGAUAAAGAGUGAGUAUCCAAAAUCUAUAAAGAGCUUAUCAAACUCAACACCCACCCCCCCAAAAAAUAUCCAGUGAAGAAAUGGGCAAAAGACAUGAAUAGACACUUCUCCAAAGACUACAUCCACAUGGCCAACCAACACAUGAAAAAAUGCUCCACGUCACUCAUCAUCAGGGAACUACAAAUCAAAACCACAAUGAGAUACCACCUCACACCUGUCAGAAUGGCUAACAUUAAUAACUCAGGCAACAAUAGAUGUUGGUGAGGAUGCGGAGAAAGAGGAUCUCUUUUUGCACUGCUGGUGGGAAUGCAAACUGGUGCAGCCACUCUGGAAAACAGUAUGGAGGUUCCUCAAAAAGUUAAAAAUAGAACUACCCUAUGAUCCAACAACUGCACUACCAGGUAUUUAUCCAAGAGAUAUGGGCAUGCUGUUUCAAAGGGGCACAUGCAUCCCAAUGUUUAUAGCAGUGCUAUCAACAAUAGCCAAAGAAUGGAAAGAACCCAAAUAUCCAUCGAUGGAUGAAUGGAUAAAGAAGAGGUGGUAUAUAUAUACAAUGGAGUAUUACUCGGCAAUCAAAAGAAUGAAAUCUUCCAUUUGCAACUACGUGGAUGGAGCUAGAGGGUAUUAUGCUAAGCGAAAUUAGAGAAAGACAAAUAUCAUAUGACUUCACUCAUAUGAGGACCUUAAGAGACAAAACAGACGAACAUAAGGGAAGGGAAACAAAAAUAAUAUAAAAACAGGGAGGAGGACAAAAACAUAAGAGACUCUUAAAUAUGGAGAACAGACAGAGGGUUACUGGAGGCAGUAUGGGAAGAGGGAUGGGCUAAAUGGGUAAGGGGCAUUUUAAAGAAUCUACUCCUGAAAUAUUGUUGCACUAUGUGCUAACUUGGAUGUAAAUUAAAAAAUAAAUAAAAACAAAAAACAAACAAAAAA